AUCGUAACAUUCCACCACACUCCGUAGGCCCCGUGCCUACGCAAGCUGGCUUUGCGCUAGCUUAAUCCAGCCUCAACAAAGGCUGCUAUUCCGGAGUCACCACCUAUGCCGCAUGAUUAUAGUGAACGGCUCUGACUAGACUAGUUAUUAAGGUGGGACACAAAUUUUCUUACGAUGGAUCGUAACAAACGGCAGCGACCAUUUUGAGGAUGUAACACAACCAAUAAAGGCACAAUUGUUUUCACUAGUGAUAUUUAUGUGCUUAAAAGAAUAAGAUUGAUAUUUG
rnacentral:misc_RNA from 1 species